UGUGAGCUGCACCAACGGAGGGUGCACCCAUACCGAUGUGCUCUCAGAUCUAGUAUGUCAUGUUUUAAAGAUCUAUGAUUUCAUCGGUGUGAGUAUUCUCUCUACCAUCACCGGUUCCAAC
rnacentral:precursor_RNA from 15 species